rnacentral:rRNA from 1 species
GACGAACCGUCCAAACGUUAUUCGGAAUUACUGGGCUUAAAGGGUGCGUAGGCGGCGCGGAAAGUAGGGUGUGAAAUCCCUCGGCUCAACCGAGGAACUGCGCCCUAAACUACCGUGCUCGAGGGAGAUAGAGGUGAGCGGAACUUAGGGUAGAGCGGUGAAAUGCGUUGAUAUCCUAAGGAACACCCGUGGCGAAAGCGGCUCACUGGGUCUCUUCUGACGCUGAGGCGCGAAAGCCAGGGGAGCAAACGGG